rnacentral:rRNA from 1 species
GAUGAACGCUGGCGGCGUGCCUAAUACAUGCGAGUCGAGCGAACAGACGAGGAGCUUGCUCCUCUGACGUUAGCGGCGGACGGGUGAGUAGCACGUGGAUAACCUACCUAUAAGACUGGGAUAACUUCGGGAAACCGGAGCUAAUACCGGAUAAUAUAUUGAACCGCAUGGUUCAAUAGUGAAAGACGGUUUUGCUGUCACUUAUAGAUGGAUCCGCGCCGCAUUAGCUAGUUGGUAAGGUAACGGCUUACCAAGGCAACGAUGCGUAGCCGACCUGAGAGGGUGAUCGGCCACACUGGAACUGAGACACGGUCCAGACUCCUACGGGAGGCAGCAGUAGGGAAUCUUCCGCAAUGGGCGAAAGCCUGACGGAGCAACGCCGCGUGAGUGAUGAAGGUCUUCGGAUCGUAAAACUCUGUUAUUAGGGAAGAACAAAUGUGUAAGUAACUAUGCACGUCUUGACGGUACCUAAUCAGAAAGCCACGGCUAACUACGUG